CUUUAGGCCUGGCCAAACUGCUGAAUCACUGGUGUAGGCCUCAGACACUCUGUAGAGUAGCAAAGUCAUGUGACUGCUCUGUGUGGAGUGUAGGCUAGCUCCUCCCUGGUGCUCUGUGUAAAGGAGCUGGCACCUCCGUUUUGUGUUCUCUGUUGGAGCAGUGAAAAGUGGAUGGAGGACAGAGGAGCUGUGACAGACAUCUGCCUGCCUGAGUUCCCCACCUCCGCUUCAAUCACCAUUCCCUGGUGGAGGAGAGGUGCUGGCUUCAUUUGGCAUGAAGAGCACCUGGCAUGUAGGACUCAGCCAAGCCUCCCCUCAGCAUUGCCUAGCAACAGCAGCCAACACGAGGAGCUUGCACUCCAGGGCCCUGGAGGCCACCAGCAGUCUCAGCCACCAACCCCACUCUCCCUAGUGGCAGGAAGGCAGGAAGAUAGAUGGCAUCUUGUCUCUGGACGCAUGGCCUCCGAGUGAAAGGAAACUACCACCUUCGCUGCCAUGGAGCCACCUCUCACCUCUCUGCGAGAGGUGGGGUGAGAAUGGCAGUUGAGCAAGGAGGAGCCCCUCUCUUUCUAUCUUUGGAGGUGGCUGUGGUGAUGGGAAGAGGAGACAGAAAGGCACUUUGCGUGCCAGGAGCAAUGGAGAGCUGCCAACUUACACUCCUGGUACACAGGGUUUUCUCCUGUCUCUUUCCACUUGUUGCUGUUGCCUCCACUCUGAAAUAACAGACCCAUAAGCCUGCUCAGGGGGUGUGGGGAACUGUCACCCUGUGCCCCACAUCAUCCCAGCUUUCCCCUAUCAUCUCCCCUGAUGGAGAAAGCCUCAGUAAGCUGCCUUAACCUGUCUUUCCUUAUGGGAAGACGAGAAGCCUCUCAUCAUACACUACUGGCUUCUUUUCGGUGGCGGCUGGGUUUUUUUCUGGUUCAGCCAUGGAGCCACCCCAGAAAUACUUGUGUGAUGGGAGCCAGCACAUUCCAUGGCUGAACUUGGAAAAACCCUGUUGUCACCAUCGAAAAGAAGCCCAUGUGACAACGUCAUUUGAGAUACUCUGUACCAGGAAGUAGACAUUGGGAGUGUGUUCUUAAUGGUUUUUAGGACAUUGACAUUUUGCUUGAAUGGGUAUUGCGGGCACUGAUUUACAAUGACUGAGUUGAUAUCCUGAAGGGCCAAACCCAGAAGAUGAUGUUACGGUACUCAUGUUCAACACCUUGGACUUUGGCCUGGGAGAUCUCUCAGCAGUGGCAGACUGACCAGAGAAUCAGCUUGCCCAAUGGCAAGUGGGCCUCCUUAAACAGAUUAGACAGUAUGUUAAAAAAUAUUAAUGACCUUUAGUAGCUAGAAAAUAUAAUAUCAUUACUGUAUGCAACUAAAAUUUACAUUGUAUUACUAUUUCAAUAAAUUAAAUCAUUUUUGAA
rnacentral:lncRNA from 11 species